AUUGAACGCUGGCGGCAGGCUUAACACAUGCAAGUCGAGCGGGGUGAUGGUGCUUGCACUAUCACUUAGCGGCGGACGGGUGAGUAAUGCUUAGGAAUCUGCCUAUUAGUGGGGGACAACAUCUCGAAAGGGAUGCUAAUACCGCAUACGUCCUACGGGAGAAAGCAGGGGAUCACUUGUGACCUUGCGCUAAUAGAUGAGCCUAAGUCGGAUUAGCUAGUUGGUGGGGUAGAGGCCUACCAAGGCGACGAUCUGUAGCGGGUCUGAGAGGAUGAGCCGCCACACUGGGACUGGGACCCGGCCCAGACUCCUACGGGAGGCAGCAGUGGGGAAUAUUGGACAAUGGGGGGAACCCUGAUCCAGCCAUGCCGCGUGUGUGAAGAAGGCCUUAUGGUUGUAAAGCACUUUAAGCGAGGAGGAGGCUCUUUUGGUUAAUACCCAAGAUGAGUGGACGUUACUCGCAGAAUAAGCACCGGCUAACUCUGUGCCAGCAGCCGCCGUAA
rnacentral:rRNA from 1 species